rnacentral:lncRNA from 1 species
AAGCUCGGUACUGAUGGGGUCAAAGGGCUUACCCUGGUUAAUGUUAUAUGAGUUAGGAACAUAUCCAGCCAUUCAAAUUAGGCCUAUUCUAUUGAAAUCUCAUGAUAAUUUUGCUUGUUUGGUUGUUUCAUGGUCAGGACCUGAUUGCUGGUGGUACAGAUAGCUCAGCUACUACUAUGGAAUGGGCGAUGUCUGAGAUCUUGAGGUAGCCAAGCACAGCUAAUAAGGCAACUGAAGAGCUGGAUAGAGUCACAGGGAGAGAUAGAUGGGGGGAAGAGAAAGACAUCCCCCAACUUCCUUAAUAUAGAUGCAAUUGUGAAGGAGACAAUGAGGCUACACCCUGUCACUAGCUGUCCUGCUAGCACCUCACCUGGCUCUUCAUGAUUGCAAUGUAGCUGGCUGUGAUAUUCGCAGAGGAACCCAAGUCCUUGUAAACGCAUGGAGCAUAGGACCCCAACAUAUGGGAUGCACCGGAGGAAUUUCGACCAGAGAGGUUCCUAGGGAAGGCAAUUGAUGUGAAGGGGCAAAACUUGAGCUGCUGCCAUUUGGUUCAAGGCGGAGGAUGUGUGCUGGAUACAGGCUUGGCCUAAAGAUGAUUCGAUCAAGCUUGACUAACAUGCUGCAUGGAUUCCACUGGAAAUUGCCUUGGGAUAUGAAGACAGAAGAGCUGAACAUGGAGGAAGGUCCCGCUUGUUGCUGUCAUGGAGCCUAGACUUCCAAGUCAUCUUUACUAGUCGUGCCUUAGACCUAUGUUUUCUUAAUCUUAUUCAGGUUUGUGCUGUGGUUUUACUGAGGUUCUGGCGUAAAGCGGUUUCUGAAUAAAUGGUUUGGGAUUUUGGUGACCUGAUCUUAAGCCUAUGGCCUUGAUGGGAACUUUCUUUUUUCGGUUCCUUCUGUGCUUCUCCUCCUUCCUUUAUCUCCUCCUUAUGCAAGUCAUUUUCACUUUGGACUGUGUACAUAAAGGGCCCAAUAGGAAUAUCUUGGUAGUCCUGGAGAGGCUCCAGGGUCUUAACCACAGUGCUCAUUGUUGGUCUAUGCUUUGGCAUGUGGCUCAUGCACCAGUAAGCCAAUGCAGCAGCCUUUUGAGCCCCUGCUUCUGAGUAUUGGCCUUCAACUCUUGGAUCCAUUAUUCUGGUGAGCUUCCUGGAAUAGUUCAGUUGAGGCCUAGCCCAUUCUGCUAGGUUCUUCUCCCUGUUAGGCCUGGUCUUGUCCAUUGAUCUUCUCCCAGUUAGUAGCUUCAAGAGCACCACUCCAAAGCUGUAAACAUCGCUCAUUGCUGUCAAAUGCCCUGCAAACAAGCAAACUUCUUAUUUGUACUCCAAAGGAAUAUGCCCUUAACAUUCAAUCUAGAUUGGAUUAAACCUUACUGAAUUUCCUGUGAUAAUGUACUCUGGAGCAGCUUACCCUUGUGUCCCCAUGACUCGGGUUGAAACAUGCGUGUCAUCGCCUUCAGGGCCGUCUUUUGCUAAACCAAAAUCUUAUAAUUUGGGAGUAUGAUCCUGAAAAAGGUAUCAACAAAAGGUCAGCGAUCAUAAACAAAGCCAACAAUAAUGCUGAAGUGGAUGAAUUAGAACUCGCCACAGGUAACAGUAUGAUCCCCAUUUUAUAGGCAGCAUGAUACCCAUUUUAUAGCUAACAUGGGAAUUCGUGUUGUUAGGAAUUGGAAGGAACACGAAAGAAAAUCAUCAUUAAUAAGAUUCCUUCUAUUAUUAGCCUGUCAAUGAAACUAAGACAUGUUAUAAGAUCAUAGAUUGUUAGCCCUUGGGGGCUGUCUAACUAUGUUUUGAUGAUAACAACAUAAGAUGAAGUGUACUGAGUUGUUUGAAUUAAGAAAAGUUUCAAGUUUUAUUGAAAAUUUCAAAAGAAAGAUAAAGAUUGUCUAAAAAAAGAUUUGAAGGACACGAAAAAAUGAAUCCUUAAAGAUUUAUAAGGUUUAAGAAAUUUUGUAAGAUGAAUCUCUUGCAUGUGUUUAGGAUUAAACUGAUUUUUAUACACUUUUAAUGCAUUCAUUUAGAUUUAGGCGACAUUUGUUUUUUUAACUUUUUACUGAAAGCAAAUUGCUUUCAGAUUUCAAAUUGUUUAUUUCUUCACUUUUUGUUAAUUUAUUAUUUAUUUAAAAAAAAAUUUUAUUGAAUAGAAAAAGAUAAAAUAUUUGAUUUUUUUUUUUAAAGUUAAAAAUAACAUUGGUUUUUGUUUAUUUUUUAAUACUUAAUAAAAAUGAAAUAUUAAAAAACAAACAACUUGAGUGCAAUUGAAAUCCCAUAUCAAUAUUAAGAUCAAUUUUAAUAAUAUUUAUAAUGUCCAUAUAAUUUUAAAACAUAUUUAUACAAUAAAAAAUGGCCUACUAUAUAUAAUAUGUUAGGAAAAGAAAAUUUUUCUCCACAGAAGUCGAGUUUUACAAAAUCCUACCACAAGUCAAUAAAAAAAGAAAAAUGUUUGACGUAAGUUGAGAUUAGAGUUUGAAAUUACAAGUAAUGCAAGUGUAAAGUUUUCAUUAUGCAUGUUUGUGCAAUUUUCCUUAAAUCUUGAAAGUCACGGAUAACAAAAUAUGACCAUAAUCCACCAAUUCAUACACUAAAAAAUAUCUUCUAUAGAGGGAAUAGUCCUGAACCAUAAAAAAUAUAGAGACAGGCCGGCCAUGGGGUGGGUUCAAUUAUUAUUGAGAUCGCUCAUGGGGUGAAACAAUUUUAUUCUAUGCAACUUGAUUAUUGAGAUGGUGAUGGGGAUAAAAGAAGGUCCACCCUUAAUGUCAGGACAAAGAAGCAUGUUGCCCAUGAUUUUCUGAAAAGCUAAACAUAUUCUAAACAGUACUUCUUGCAAGCCCAAAGACACCAAAGUAGUGCAUCAGAAGAGCUUGGAAAGAGGUGUUGGGUGCUAGGUCAAUUUUUCGAAUAGAUCAAAAGAAAGCUAAAGAUUGUCUAAAAAAGAUUUGAAGGACACCAAAGGAUGAAUCCUUAAAGAUUUAUAAGGUCUAAGAAAUUUUGUAAGAUGAAUCUCUUGCGUGUAUUUAAUAUUAAAUUGAUUUUCAUACAUUUUUAAUGUAUUCAUUUAGACUUAGUUGACGCUUGUUUUUUUAACUUUUUGUUGAAAGCAAAUUACUUUUAGAUUUUAAAUCAUUUAUUUCUUAAAUUUUUUUAUUAAAUAGAAAAUAAUAAAAUAUUUGAUUUUUUCUUAAAGUUAAAAAUAAUAUAUUAGUUUUUAUUUACUUUUUAAUACUUAAUAGAAAUGAAAUAUUUAAAAACAAACAACUUGAGUGCAAUUGAAAUCUCGUAUCAAUAUUAAGAUCAAUUUUAAUACCAUUUAUAAUGUCCAUAUAAUUUUAAAACAUAUUUAUACAAUAAAAAAUGGCAUACUAUAUAUAAUAUGUUAGGAAGAGAAAAUUUUUCUCCAUAGAAGUUGAGUUUCACAAAAUCCUACCACAAGUCAAUAAAAAAAGAAAAAUGUUUGACAUAAGUUGGGAUCAGAGUUUGAAAUUAUAAGUGAUGCAAGUGUAAAGUUUUCAUUAUGCAUGUUUGUACAAUUUUCCUUAAAUCUUGAAAGUUACGGAUAACAAAAUAUGACCAUAAGCCAACAAUUCAUGCACUAAAAAAUAUCUUCUAUAGAGGGAAUAGUCUUGAACCAUAAAAAAUAUAGAGACAGGGCGGACAUGGGCUGGGUUCAAUUAUUAUUGAGAUCGCAGAUGGGAUGAAGCAGUUGUAUUCUAUGCAAACUUGAUUAUUGAGAUGGUGAUGGGGAUAAAAGAAGAUCCACCCUUAAUGUCACGACAAAGGCAUAUUCCAAACAAUACUUCUUGCAAGCCCAAAGACACCAAAGUAGUGCAUCAGAAGAACUUGGAAAGAGGUGUUGGGUGCUAGGUCAAUUUUUCGAAUAGAUUGAAGUAAAAUGUUUGUUUAUGAAAAUUUUUUAAAUACGAAUUGAUAAUGUGAAAGGUACAGUAUUGUUUUAUAUUUAAAUUGAAAGUGUCAAUUUUUUGUUUUUUCUGAUCUCCAUGCAUUACAUAACUCCAUCAGAAAUUCCCGGGGUGAGUAAUAGGAUUUGACGAUAGACUUAAAAAGUCAUCUAUAGACACUUUAUACGUAAUCAUUCUAGAUAACACUUGUAUUCUCUGUAUUACCUGAUAUAAAGUUAAUAGAUGCUCAUUCCUAUAUAUAUAAUGAUAUCUCAAAAGAUUUAAUUUUUUAUUAUAUUUAAUUCUUUUUAUUUUUCUUUAUUGAGUUAUCGAAUUGACUUUAUUUAUUAUUCCACUUUUUAAGAACAAGUGAUAUUGAUGUAAAAGGAUCGGGAUAGAAAUGAUAUUUUGAUUAGAAGCAACUUUGGAAUUGAUUAUUUAGGAUUAUUGACUUAAAGACUAAUGUCAUUUAUAACUUCUACAAUUUUUUAUUUAAAUGUUAUUAUUGAGCUAUUUUAAUUAGUUUUGAAUUUAUUGGUAAUGUAUUAAGCUCUGACAUGUGAAAUGAGUCUGGUACCUUUAGCUUUUGCGUUGGAGACUUUCUAUUGGGUAGGCUUGGCCGAAGUCCCACUCUCAAAUCACUACCAUAAAAGUUGUUUCCUUGUUAGGAGAAAUGUCCAAGAAAAUUGCAGACUGAGGCCCCAUGAACGAGAAAGGAGGUCAAUUAUUGAAGCACUCAUUCAUUUAGUUCUGCUGUGCAACUUCUGUUUAUGCAUCAUCUUUAUAUAAAAGGUUUCAUGGGAGGGCCAAGAGGAGAUACAUAUGAUCAGGCAUGAUAAAAGCAUGGUGUUCCCAUACACUUUAACAUGAUAAACAGGGCAAGGAUUAAUGAGCAUUCUUGUAGUCAUAACAUCAAGAAAUAUCCCCCAAUUGAAAGAGACUAAGGUAGUAUUUAGUUUUUUAACUUAAUACUCAAUGUAAUUUACUUUCAAAAUUUUUAAAUAGAAAAAACAAAAAUAUUUAAUAAUAAUAAAAUAAUAAAAAAUAAAUGAUUUAAUAUUUAAUAGUAUUAAGUUAAAUAAAAUUCCAUUUAAAUUUAAGUAAAAAAGCCAAACACGAAAGUAUUAAACUAUAGUAUCCAAUAUUAGCCUUGGCCAUUAGUUGAGAAGGUUGCUGUUCUCCUCCAUGGAUGCAAUGACAGAUUCUUCUGUGUUAAAUUUAUAAAUGUUUUCUCUCUGCUUUUGUGUCAUCUUGGUGGACACUGGAAGAUCAAGCCAUUUAAGUAAGACAUUUUUAUUGGGUUUUGGUGAGUGAAUGAUAUCUCUGAGUGAUACACCUUUUUUAUUUUUAUUUUUAGCUUUUACCUUAUGUUUAAUUCCUCGAAACUAAGAAGGAAAGCAAUUUUUUUUUUAAAUUAUCUUCUCAUAUUAAUUAUUCUAUAUAAAAUAGGAAAAAAAUCAAAUAUAAUUAAAAUUAAUUAAAAAUUUAUAUAUUUUCAAAUUAUUUAAUCUUAUUUGAAAAGAAUUAAAAAAAAAUAAAAUGAAUUGAAAAUAACAUAUAAAAAUAAUUUAUUAAUAUUAAAUAUAUUUUUAUUUUUUAUUUCCUUCCAUUUUUCUUCUUUACUUUCUUUUUCCCUUCCAAUCAAACAUAAUGUUUUAAGUGUUUAAUAAAAUAUUUAAACUCUUGUAAAUGGUUGAAUAGUACUACCAAAAUGUGAUUCACAUGAGUUCAAUAUAUGCUUUCCACCAGCUUAUUUGCUUAUAAAUAGUCCCCCGUUCCUCAAACUUUCACCACCAUUAAUGGAGGCUCCUUCUUGGGUUGUUUUGGCCCUAGCAUGGCUAGCCUCAGUAGCCCUUCUCUCAAAAGUUUUCAGUUUCCGGCCACCCCACAAGCAAAACCUUCCACCAGGUCCCACACCAUGGCCGAUCAUCGGCAACCUAAACCUCAUUGGCCAUCUCCCCCACCGGUCCCUCCACAAACUGUCCCAAAAAUAUGGACAAAUAAUGGAGCUUCGAUUUGGGUCUUUCCCAGUUGUAGUGGCCUCAUCUUCAGAAAUGGCAAAGCAGUUCUUAAAGACAAACGAUCACCUCUUUGCCUCCAGGCCUCACACUGCUGCCGGCAAGUACAUUACUUAUAACUACUCCAACAUCACCUGGGCUCCUUACGGUCCAUACUGGCGCCAAGGGCGUAAAAUCUUCCUCACAGAGCUGUUCAGCUCGAAAAGGCUCGCGUCUUAUGAGUACAUUCGGGUUGAAGAAAGGCAGGCUUUCAUCUCCCGCCUCUACGCAUUGUCAGGAAAGCCAGUCAUGCUUAAAGAACAUCUCUCUCGCGUUACUCUCGGCGUUAUAAGCAGAAUUGUACUGGGGGAGAAGUACUUCAGUGAGUUCGAAUCCGGGAGGUCGAUGUUGACGGUGGAAGAGUGUCAGAAGAUGCUGGGUGAGUUGUUCUUGCUUAAUGGUGUGUUGAAUAUUGGGGAUUGGAUACCGUGGAUUGCAUUCUUGGACUUGCAGGGGUAUGUGAAGAGGAUGAAGGCUUUGCGCGAUAAAUUUGAUAGGUUUUAUGAUCAUGUGCUUGAGAAACACAGGGCCAGAAGAGAAGCAGAGGACUUUGUGGCUAAGGACAUGGUGGAUAUGCUUCUGAGAUUGGCUGAUGAUCCUGAUGUUGAGGUUAAGCUCACUACUGAUGGGAUCAAAGGGUUUACACAGGUUAGUGUUAUUUGAGUUCAUGAACAUAUCCAACCAUUCAAAUUAGGCCUGUUCUAUUGAAACCUCAUGAUAAUUUUGCUUGUUUUGUUGUUUCAUGGUCAGGACCUAAUAGCUGGUGGUACAGAUACCUCAGCUACUACUCUGGAAUGGGCGAUGUCCGAGGUCUUGAGGCAGCCAAACAUAGCUAAAAAGGCAACUGAAGAGCUGGAUAGAGUUAUAGGGAGAGAUAGAUGGGUGGAGGAGAAAGACAUUGCCCAACUUCCUUACAUAGAUGCAAUUGUGAAGGAGACAAUGAGGCUACACCCUAUUGUUGUCCUGCUGGCACCUCACCUGGCUCUUCAAGAUUGCAAUGUAGCUGGCUAUGAUAUUCGCAGAGGAACCCGAGUCCUAGUAAACACAUGGAGCAUAGGGAGGGACCCCAACAUAUGGGAUGCACCCGAGGAAUUUCGACCAGAGAGGUUCCUAGGGAAGGCAAUUGAUGUGAAGGGACAAAGCUUUGAGCUGCUGCCAUUUGGUUCAGGGCGGAGGAUGUGCCCUGGAUACAGCCUUGGCCUAAAGAUGAUUCAAUCGAGCUUGGCUAACAUGUUGCAUGGAUUCCACUGGAAAUUGCCUUGGGAUAUGAAGACAGAAGAGCUGAACAUGGAGGAAGUUUUUGGACUGACAACUCCAAGGAAGGUCCCACUUGUUGCUGUCAUGGAGCCUAGACUCCAAAACCAUCUUUACUAGUCGUGCCUUAGACCUAUGUUUUUGAAGAUGAUCGGAAAAGUGUCCUUCUAGCUCGAUUGCAUGGGCUGGUUUUUAUAUAACAGGGUUGCCUGGCCAUGUGGUAGGCUGGUCAGUCAUUUUCCUGCCUUUUACAAGAAUACAAAAAUGCCUUUUGACUAAUAGGCAAAGGCAGUCAGCUUUCCAUCAAGCGUUUGGUGUGUUAUUAGUUCACCUCGUCAGGUAUUCUUCUUGGAGGGUAGCACGUUGGGGAUGUACUGCUUUUUGGCACCUCCAGUUUUAUUAAUAUUAUUCAGUUGUGUGUAAUGGUUUUGAUCCGUUAAUUGUAUUUCUUCUGUUCUCUAUCCAUGAAUGCAUUAGUGGCUUGCUUAAUUAAUAACAAACCUUUGAAAAAUGAGGUUACUGAUGUUGUCAAAGGAUACACAUAAUUGUAUUUAGACACAUGGCAGAGUGAUCCCUGUAUAAGAAACAAAAUAAGGAAUAUGGGAGUUUAUAGAGAUACGACACCUCGUACACUACUACAUCUCAUCUUCAUCAACCCUAGACCUUUAUCACCUUUUAACAUGUCGGCAUGCUGCAUGCCACUUCUAAUUUUGUUGGUGAAUAAAGCGUAUGUGAUUCUAUUGGAUGAUUAGCUUCUUAUUGUCAAAAAGGCGCAAAAAAUAUCUUACAGUAAGCAAAAAAGAUUAUCGACAGGCUGCCAUGCAUAUCAUAUGCUUAAAACAUUCUUGUCCUUAUUCAAAUUCAGUCACUUUCCUUAAUCUUUCAUCAAUCUAAUUUCUUCCUUAAGUGCUAUUCCAACAACCCUAUCUUAUCUUAAAUUUAGAGACAUUUAUAUAAUUUGAAAUUUUAAAAAGGCUUUUUUUUAAAAAUAAAUAUUUAUAUAAUUUUAAAAUUUUGUGAGAAAACAAAUGAGAUAUUUUCAUUAUUUUGGUCUUUGCAAUCACCCACUAUCUUUAUUUAUUUCCCAUAUUAUAAAAAAUUGAAAAGAUAAAAUAAAGAAAAUAAAUACAGAAAGUCUUCAAAGAACAGAUUACUUUGUUGUACCAUUUAAAAGUAAGAGUCUAACCUUGAUCCAUCUUUAUAUAUGUAAAUUAAAAUUCUAAAUAUAAUUUAGGUGGUGAUAAAUUUUAUUUCAAAUUUAAAAACUUAGGAGUAUUUACAAAUGUUCAUCAUAAAAUAAAAGAAAAAUAAAAGGAAAGUAAAGAGGCAAGAUGGAGAUGGGGAAAAAAAUUAGGGAAAAUAAUAAUAAUAAUAAUAAUAAUAAUAAUAAUAAUAAUAAUAAUAAUUAAAUAGACAUAGGAAAAUAAUUUUUAGAGUUUUAGUUUAAAUAAAUAAUUGAAAAAAAUGGAUUAUAAAUAUAAUUGAUAAUAAGAGUUUUAUAUAAAUUGGCAAUUUCCUAUAGAUGAAAAUAAUAUUACUUAUAUAGAAAAUUAGGAAUUAGAGUAUUAAUAAUUACAUCAAAGAGAAUAAUAUUAAUGCAAAUGGUAUCAAGAACGUCAAAUACUAAUUUUUAAUUUUUGAUAAAUAGCCGAUUGAAAUAAUUAUUCUUUGAACUAUGUUAUGUUAUGUGUGGAUUAAGUUCUUUAUGAUCAAGUAAUGUUUUUAUGAAAUGUAUUAUGAUUUUAAAUUGGGAAUUUCGAUCAUAUGAUUUAUUGAUCAUUGUGUAAGUGGAUUUUAGUUUAUAAUUUAUUAUAAUGACUUUGAAAUUUUGAUUAUUAGUGGUCUUGCUCAAUAGAGUAUAAAUUAUUAACCUUCGUUACCCUUGAUAGGGGGUAGUGAUGCUAUGCAAUCCUAACCAAUAAGAUGCUAUUAACCUUUGGUAUGCUAUUGAUUGAAUGUUGAUGGGGGAACAAAAUGAAGCUACCCAUCUAGUGCAAAUUCCAUUAUUUGGUUAUAGUGUUAUUAUCAGCGAAAUAGAGUAAAAUAUUUAUUUAUAAAAUCAUUUUGAACAUGAACUUCUACUAUUAAGUGUAUUAUAUUGUUUUAUACUUUUUGAAGUGUCAAUUUUUUUUCAAAAAAAAAAUGUAAACUUAAUUAUUAAAUUAAAUGAGUAGAUUUUUCUUAUUGACUUAUUUUUUCUUAUCGUGUUAAAUAUCGAAUUCACUCUUUUUUUAUAAUUCCACUUUUCAAUUACAAGUGAUGCCAAUGAAGAGAGAUUGUAAUAUAAUUAAGAGUGUUUUUAUUAUAAACAGUUUUGAAAUAGAUAUUGUUUAUGAUUAUUAACUUAAGACUAAUUGUAGUUGUAACUUCUAAAAAUUAAAUUUUAUAGAAUCAUUGAAGUCAUCGUUGAGAUAUUUUAAUUAUUUUUGGUUUUGCUAGUCAACUUAAUUUAUGUAUUAAGUUAUUGGAUUUGACAUGUGAAAUGGCUGUGAUGCUCUUAGCCUUCGGGUUCGAGGUAUCAGAGCCAUUGUCAUCACUUCACGGCCUUCCAACUGGGUAGGCUUGCUCGAAGUCACACCCUCAAAUCACUAGCAUGAAAGCUAGCUUUUACCUUGUUAGGUGAACCGGCUUAGGAAACUGUAAACUGAGAUCCAAUCAAUAAGCAAGAAGUUCAAUUAUUGAAGUUCUUAUUCAUUUGAGUGCUCUUCGACUACUUUAUGUAAAAAAUUUCAUGAAAGGGCCAAGAGGAUAUACAUAUGAUCAGGCAUGGAUGAUGCUUGGUGAUCCCAUACAGUACUCUCACGUGAUAUACGGGCCAAGGAUUAACGAGUAUUCUUGUAGUAAUAACGUUAAGAUAUGAACCCUAAUGGAAAUACUAACUAGAACACGCACGAAAGUAUUAAGCUAUGGUAUCCAUUAGCAUUGGCCAUUAGUUGAAGGUUGCAGUCCUCUAUAGAUCUCCAUUAAUGAUUCUUUUGUGUUAAAUUUAUAAAUGUUUUCUCCAUACUUUUGUGUCAUAUUGGUGGACCCUGGAAGAUCCGUCCUUACAACCAGCCAUAUCAGUAAGACAUUUUUAUUGGGUUUCUGGUAAAUAAAUAUUAGCAUAAAUUGGAAGGCGGUGGCUGUCCAUUUCUGCAGUGAUACACCAUUGUCUUUUUUAAGCUUUUAGUAUUUAAUAAAAUAUUCAAGCUUUUGUAAAUGGUUGAAUAACACUAUCAACAUGUGAUUCACAUGAGUUUAAUAUGUGAUUUCAACCAUGGCCAAUCAUGGGCAACCUAAACCUCAUUGGCCAUCUCCCCCACCGGUCCCUCCACAAACUGUCCCAAAAAUAUGGACAAAUAAUGGAGCUUCGAUUUGGGUCUUUCCCAGUUGUAGUGGCCUCAUCUUCAGAAAUGGAAAAGCAAUUCUUAAAGACAAACGAUCACCUCUUUGCCUCCAGGCCUCACACUGCUGCCGGAAAGUACACUAAUUAUAACUACUCCAACAUCACCUGGGCUCCUUACGGUCCAUACUGGCGCCAAGGGCGUAAAAUCUUCCUCACAGAGAUGUUCAGCUCGAAAAGGCUCGAGUCUUAUGAGUACAUUCGGGUUGAAGAAAGGCAGGCUUUCAUCUCCCGCCUCUACGCAUUGUCAGGAAAGCCAGUCAUGCUUAAAGAACAUCUCUCUCGCGUUACUCUCAGCGUUAUAAGCAGAAUUGUACUGGGGGAGAAGUACUUCAGUGAGUUCGAAUCCGGGAGGUCAAUGGUGACGGUGGAAGAGUGUCAGAAGAUGCUGGUUGAGUUGCUCUUGCUUAAUGGUGUGUUGAAUAUUGGGGAUUGGAUACCGUGGAUCGCAUUCUUGGACUUGCAGGGGUAUGUGAAGAGGAUGAAGGCUUUGCGCCAUAAAUUUGAUAGGUUUUAUGAUCAUGUGCUUGAGAAACACAGGGCCAGGAGAGAAGCAGAGGACUUUGUGGCUAGGACAUGGUGGAUAUGCUUCUGAGAUUGGCUGAUGAUCCUGAUAUUGAGGUUAAGCUCACUACUGAUGGGAUCAAAGGGUUUACACAGGUUAGUGUUAUAUGAGUUCAUGAACAUAUCCAACCAUUCAAAUUAGGCCUAUUCUAUUGAAACCUCGUGAUAAUUUUGCUUGUUUUGUUGUUUCAUGGUCAAGACCUAAUAGCUGGUGGUACAGAUACCUCAGCUACUACUCUGGAAUGGGCGAUGUCCGAGGUCUUGAGGCAGCCAAACAUAGCUAACAAGGCAACCGAAGAGCUGGAUAGAGUUAUAGGGAGAAAUAGAUGGGUGGAAGAGAAAGACAUUCCCCAACUUCCUUACAUAGAUGCAAUUGUGAAGGAGACAAUGAGGCUACACCCUGUUGCUGUCCUGCUUGCCCCUCACCUGGCUCUUCAGGACUGCCAUGUAGCUGGCUAUGAUAUUCGCAAAGGAACCCGAGUCCUAAUAAACACAUGGAGCAUAGGGCGGGACCCCAAUCUAUGGGAUGCACCUGAGGAAUUUUUCCCAGAGAGGUUCCUAGGGAAGGCAAUUGAUGUAAAGGGGCAAAACUUUGAGCUACUGCCAUUUGGUUCAGGGCGGAGGAUGUGUCCUGGCUACAGCCUUGCCCUAAAGAUGAUUGGAUCCAGCUUGGCUAACAUGUUGCAUGGAUUCCACUGGAAAUUGCCUGGAGAUAUGAAGCCAGAAGAGCUGAACAUUGAGGAAGUGUUUGGACUGACAACUCCAAGGAAGGUCCCACUUGUUGCUUUCAUGGAGCCUAGACUCCCAAGUCAUCUUUACUAGUCGUGCCUUAGACCUAUGUUUUCUUAAUAUUAUUCAGUUGUGUGCAAUGGUUUUAGUCUGUUAAUUCUAUUUCUCCUGUUCUCUAUCCAUGAAUGCAUUAGUGGCUUGCUCAAUUGAUAACAAACAUUACAAAAAUGAGGUUACGGUUAACAAAAGAUACACCUAAUGCCAAACUUUUCAAUUGUGUCGAUGGUGUAUAUGUCACUAAUGAUCUCAUUUCUUAGGACUUCAUUUUCUUUUCUCAUGUGGGGGAGGCAGCCAUGAAUCAGUCAGUUGCUUCAUUGUUAAUCAAAGAAAAUGAGGCGAAUUUGAAAGAAUUGAUUCAGAUAGCUAAAAUGUUCUCCUCAUAAGUAUUCAUACACUUUAUGCCUAAAAUGUGACCCACUAUGAAAUACAAGACAACCCUCAGUAAAUCUCUAUUCAUAAUAUGAUCUAUAGUUCUACCCACUUUUCUACCCUUCCUGCUUCUGGGAUGUAGGGAGAGUUUGGAUUGUUUAUGAGAUUCUGGCGUAGAGUGGUUUUGAAUAAGUGGUUGGGGAUUUUGGUGAUAUGAUCCUAUGCCUAUGGCCUCGACGGGAACUUUCUUUUUUGGGUUUCUUCUGUGCUUCUCCUUCUUCCUUUGUCUCCUUCUUAUGCAAGUCAUUUUUGCUUUGGACCGUGCACGCAAAGACCCCAACAGGAAUGUCAUGUGGGCCGAAGUGACUUGAGACUAAAUUGAGUUUGUGUCACUUGGUCCAACCCACUUAAGAUCCUAAUUAAUUAAUUAACUCUAAUGUGCUUAAAUAAAUUAACUAACCUAAUUCAGAAAGUAAGUUUAUAAGAUUUAGUGUAAUAUUACAUUUUUACCAGAAUACCUUUAUUGUACACUUAUGAAUUAUAUACCCAAAAUAUCCUUAAAGCAAGUGCCACAAUGAAACAGGAGCUCAAGUGAGGGCCACUUCUGAAGUUGACUCAACUACACUCAAAAUCCAAUUCUGGCUCCCUAAACUCAACUACUUUCAAAAUAUUGGUUCUUCAAAAUCCAAUUCUGAAGUUAGACUCAACAUUCCAUUCCAUUAAAAAAAGUUAACUACACUCUAGUAUCCUAUGAAAUUACAACGAUACAAAGCUUGAGUGUAUGACCUACUAUCUAUUACAUGCAAACUCCUCAUGAAUUGAUAUUUGUAAUAUAACAAAGAAUUUAGGUAAAGUCUCUAGAAAACUUUGAAUGGAAGAGUUUAAGUGUUGAUAAAUUUUAUUUAAAAUCGAAAAAUUAGGGAUAUGUACAAAUGUUUAGACGAGGUUUAUAUUUAAUAAAAAAUAAUAAAUAAAAAUAAAAAGCCUUUAAAGAACUUUGGUAUGAAGAGUUUAGGUGUUUAUAAAUUUUAUUUCAAAUAAAAAAAAUUAGGAAUAUAUACAAAUAUUUAGACGAGAUUCGUAUUGAAUUGAAAAGAGUACAUAAAAGCGGCAAUUAGCUAAAUGGUUAAUAUGGCUUGUUGCGUGUUUGGGUGUUGAAUGGAUGAAACCACAGACAAAUAAAAGGAAAAUAAAGAGGCAUGGUGGAGAGGAGGAAUAAAUUUUGGGGACAAUAAUAUAAUUAAAUAUACACACAAAUAGAUUUUUGAGAGUUUUAGGUUAGAUAAAUAAUUGAAAAAGGUAUAUUAUUAACGUAUUUGGUAAUGGAGUUGUAUACAAAUUGGGAAUUGCCUCCAUAUUAAAAUAAUAUUAAUGCAAGAGUAUUAAGAAUGCUAAAUAAUAAUUUUAGAUAAAUAGCGCAUCAAAAUUUUUUGAACUAUGUUAUGCCAGGUAAGUUCACUGUGGUCACGUGCUUUAAAAAUUCGACUGACUUUUAUUAUAUAAGAGUUAAUAGUGCAAUAAAUCAUUUUGUAAUUCCUAAUCAAUUUGUAAUUAAAGUAUUAAAAUAUUUAAAUUUUCUAAAGUGGAUCAAUUAAUAAUAUUCUUCUAAAAUGCGAUAUGAUUUGUUCUUUGGUUUUUGAAAUAAAUUAAAAAUAUCAUAUGAUUUAUUGAUUAUUAUGUGAGUGGAUUUUAGUUCUCAAUUUAUUAUAUAUAAUGACUUUGAAACUUUGGUUAUUGGUGGCGGAUAAAUUGUUGAUCUUCACUACCUUUGACGAGGGUAGUAAUGUAGUAUAACCCUAACCAGUAAGGAUGUUAUUAGCCUUGGUACACCAUAUAUUAAAAAUCAUUCCCUCCAUCAAUAAAAUGAAUAAAUUGAGGCUAACUACCUUACGUAAGUCUCACUAUUUGGAUAUAGUGAAUCAAAGUAAAAUAUUUAUUUAUGAAAUUAUUUUGAAUACGAACCAAUAAUGCAAGUGUAUUAUAUUAUUUUAUAUUUAAAUUGAAAGUGCCAAUUUUUUUUUUAAAGAAAUAUAUCUCAAAAGAUUUAAUGUUAUAUUAUAUUUUAGCCUCCUUGUUGAACUCUCCUAGAAAACUGUAGAGUGAGAUCGAAUCAAACGAGCAGGAAUUCAAUUAUUAAAAUACUUAUUCAUUAAUAAUGCAAGUGUAUUAUAUUAUUUUAUAUUUAAAUUGAAAGUGCCAAUUUUUUUUUAAAAGAAAUAUAUCUCAAAAGAUUUAAUGUUAUAUUAUAUUUUAGCCUCCUUGUUGAACUCUCCUAGAAAACUGUAGAGUGAGAUCGAAUCAAACGAGCAAGAAUUCAAUUAUUAAAAUACUUAUUCAUUUGGCUGUAUACAAAAAUUUCAUGGAAGGGCAAAGAAGAUGUAGAUAUGAUCAGGCAUGGAUGAUGGUGUUCCCAUACAGUACUCUCACGUGAUGAACGGGGCAAGGAUUAACUAGAACACAAAAGUAUUAAACUAUACAUACAAGAUCCGUUAGGGUUUUGGCCAUUGGCUGAAGAUUGCAGUCCUGUAUAGAUCUCCAUUGAUUCUUUUGUGAUAAAUUUACAAACGUUUUCUCCAUGCUUUUGUGUCAUUUUGGUGGACCCCGGAAGAUCCAUUAUUAAAACCAGCCAUAUCAGUAAGGAAUGAUAAUAUAUUUUGGAAGGUGGGUGUACGUCUAUUUCUGAAGUGAAAAAGGCACCAUUGUUUUUUAAUGUUUAAGCGUUUAAGUUAUGGUUGAUUAAUAUUAACAAAUACGAUUCACAUGAGAGUUGGGACUAAUAUGUGAUUUCCACAAUCUUAUUUGCUUAUAAAUAGUCCCCCAUUCCUCAAACUUACACCACCACCAUCACCACCAAUGGAGGCUCCUUCUUGUGUAGUUUUGGCCCUGGUGUGGCUAGCUGCAGCAGCCCUUCUCUCAAAACUUUUCAGUUUCCGGCCAGCCCACAAGCAAAACCUUCCACCAGGCCCCAAACCAUGGCGGAUCAUCGGCAACCUAAACCUCAUUGGCCAUCUCCCCCACCUGUCCCUCCACAAACUGUCCCAAAAAUAUGGACAAAUAAUGCAGCUUCAAUUCGGGUCCUUCCCAGUUGUAGUGGCCUCGUCUCCAGAAAUGGCAAGGCAGUUCUUAAAGACAAAUGAUCACCUCUUUGCCUCUAGGCCUCAGACUGCUGCUGGCAAGUACACUGCUUAUAACUACUCCAACAUCACCUGGGCACCUUACGGUCCAUGCUGGCGCCAGGGGCGUAAAAUCUUCCACACAGAGCUGUUCAGCUGGAAAAGGCUCGAGUCUUGUGAAUAUAUUCGGGUCGAAGAAAGGCGGGCUUUCGUCUCCCGCCUCUAUGCGUUGUCAGGAAAGCCAGUCAUGCUUAAAGACCAUCUCUCUCGCGUUACUCUCAGCGUUAUAAGCAGAAUUGUACUGGGGGAGAAGUACUUCAAUGAGUCUGAAUCCGGGAGGUCAAUAGUGACGGUGGAAGAGUUCCAGGAGAUGCUGGAUGAGUUGUUCUUGCUUAAUGGUGUGUUGAAUAUUGGGGAUUGGAUACCUUGGAUUGCAUUCUUGGACUUGCAAGGGUAUGUGAAGAGGAUGAAGGCCUUGCGUGAUAAAUUUGAUAGGCUUUUUGAUCAUGUGAUUGAGAAACACAGGGCCAGAAGAGAAGCAGCGGACUUUGUGGCUAAGGAUAUGGUGGAUAUGCUUCUGAGAUUGGCUGAUGAUCCUGAUCUUGAGGUUAAGCUCGGUACUGAUGGGGUCAAAGGGCUUACCCUGGUUAGUGUUAUAUGAGUUAUGAACAUAUCCAGCCAUUCAAAUUAGUAUAUUCUAUUGAAAUCUCAUGAUAAUUUUGCUUGUUUUGUUGUUUCAUGGUCAGGACCUGCUUGCUGGUGGUACAGAUACCUCAGCUACUACUAUGGAAUGGGCAAUGUCUGAGAUCUUGAGGCAGCCAAGCAUAGCUACGAAGGCAACUGAAGAGCUGGAUAGAGUCAUAGGGAGAGACAGAUGGGUGGAAGAGAAAGACAUCCCCCAACUUCCUUACAUAGAUGCAAUUGUGAAGGAGACAAUGAGGCUACACCCUGUUGCUGUCCUGCUUGCCCCUCAC